rfam:Planktothrix agardhii NIVA-CYA 126/8 chromosome, whole genome shotgun sequence.
AGGAGUGUGAGGAGUGAAAUUAAUAAAGAAGAAGCACUUGGGGUCGAAACUCGGCCAGACUCCCAAGUGCUUUUUCCA